rnacentral:rRNA from 1 species
CGAACGCUGGCGGCGCGCCUAACACAUGCAAGUCGAACGAGCGAGAGAGAGCUUGCUUUCUCAAGCGAGUGGCGAACGGGUGAGUAACGCGUGAGGAACCUGCCUCAAAGAGGGGGACAACAGUUGGAAACGACUGCUAAUACCGCAUAAGCCCACGGUGCCGCAUGGCACAGGGGGAAAAGGAGCAAUCCGCUUUGAGAUGGCCUCGCGUCCGAUUAGCUAGUUGGUGAGGUAACGGCCCACCAAGGCGACGAUCGGUAGCCGGACUGAGAGGUUGAACGGCCACAUUGGGACUGAGACACGGCCCAGACUCCUACGGGAGGCAGCAGUGGGGAAUAUUGCACAAUGGGGGAAACCCUGAUGCAGCGACGCCGCGUGGAGGAAGAAGGUCUUCGGAUUGUAAACUCCUGUUGUUGAGGAAGAUAAUGACGGUACUCAACAAGGAAGUGACGGCUAACUACGUGCCAGCAGCCGCGGUAAAACGUAGGUCACAAGCGUUGUCCGGAAUUACUGGGUGUAAAGGGAGCGCAGGCGGGAAGACAAGUUGGAAGUGAAAUCUAUGGGCUCAACCCAUAAACUGCUUUCAAAACUGUUUUUCUUGAGUAGUGCAGAGGUAGGCGGAAUUCCCGGUGUAGCGGUGGAAUGCGUAGAUAUCGGGAGGAACACCAGUGGCGAAGGCGGCCUACUGGGCACCAACUGACGCUGAGGCUCGAAAGUGUGGGUAGCAAACAGGAUUAGAUACCCUGGUAGUCCACACCGUAAACGAUGAUUACUAGGUGUUGGAGGAUUGACCCCUUCAGUGCCGCAGUUAACACAAUAAGUAAUCCACCUGGGGAGUACGACCGCAAGGUUGAAACUCAAAGGAAUUGACGGGGGCCCGCACAAGCAGUGGAGUAUGUGGUUUAAUUCGACGCAACGCGAAGAACCUUACCAAGUCUUGACAUCCCUUGACGGACAUAGAAAUAUGUUUUCUCUUCGGAGCAAGGAGACAGGUGGUGCAUGGUUGUCGUCAGCUCGUGUCGUGAGAUGUUGGGUUAAGUCCCGCAACGAGCGCAACCCUUAUGGUCAGUUACUACGCAAGAGGACUCUGGCCAGACUGCCGUUGACAAAACGGAGGAAGGUGGGGAUGACGUCAAAUCAUCAUGCCCUUUAUGACUUGGGCUACACACGUACUACAAUGGCGUUAAACAAAGAGAAGCAAGACCGCGAGGUGGAGCAAAACUCAGAAACAACGUCCCAGUUCGGACUGCAGGCUGCAACUCGCCUGCACGAAGUCGGAAUUGCUAGUAAUCGCAGAUCAGCAUGCUGCGGUGAAUACGUUCCCGGGCCUUGUACACACCGCCCG